rnacentral:rRNA from 1 species
GUUGUAUGGUUAAGUGACUAAGCGUAGACGGUGGAUGCCUUGGCAGUCAGAGGCGAUGAAGGACGUACUAACCUGCGAAAAGCGAUGGUGAGCUGGUAAGAAGCAUUUGAGCCAUCGAUGUCCGAAUGGGGAAACCCACCUGCAUAAGCAGGUAUCUUAGCGUGAAUACAUAGCGUUUAAGAGGCGAACUCGGGGAACUGAAACAUCUAAGUACCCGAAGGAAAAGAAAUCAAUUGAGAUUCCGGCAGUAGCGGCGAGCGACCCCGGAGCAGCCCUUAAGCGGCUUAGGCGUUAGGUGAACAGGUUGGAAAACCUGGCAAUAAAGGGUGAUAGCCCCGUAACCGACGGCGCCUUAGGCGUGAAAACGAGUARGACGGGACACGUGAUAUCUUGUCUGAASAUGGGGGGACCAUCCUCCAAGGCUAAAUACUCCUGACUGACCGAUAGUGAACCAGUACCGUGAGGGAAAGGCGAAAAGAACCCCUGUGAGGGGAGUGAAAUAGAACCUGAAACCGUCUACGUACAAGCAGUGGGAGCCCCAUCACUAAGACACUUCAUCUUAGUGAGACGCUAUCACUUUAUGGGGUGACCGCGUACCUUUUGUAUAAUGGGUCAGCGACUUAAUGUAAGUAGCCAGGUUAACCGCAUAGGGGAGCCGUAGGGAAACCGAGUCUUAACUGGGCGACAGUUGCUUGCAUUAGACCCGAAACCGAGUGAUCUAGCCAUGGGCAGGUUGAAGGUUGAGUAACAUCAACUGGAGGACCGAACUCACUAACGUUGAAAAGUUAGGAGAUGACCUGUGGCUAGGGGUGAAAGGCCAAUCAAACUCGGAGAUAGCUGGUUCUCCCCGAAAGCUAUUUAGGUAGCGCCUCGGACGAACACUACUGGGGGUAGAGCACUGUUAAGGCUAGGGGGUCAUCCCGACUUACCAACCCUUUGCAAACUCCGAAUACCAGUAAGUGCUAUCCGGGAGACACACGGCGGGUGCUAACGUCCGUCGUGGAGAGGGAAACAACCCAGACCGCCAGCUAAGGUCCCCAAGUUAUCGCUAAGUGGGAAACGAUGUGGGAAGGCUCAGACAGCCAGGAUGUUGGCUUAGAAGCAGCCAUCAUUUAAAGAAAGCGUAAUAGCUCACUGGUCGAGUCGGCCUGCGCGGAAGAUGUAACGGGGCUAAGCGAUACACCGAAGCUGCGGCAAUGUCCUUAUGGAUAUUGGGUAGGGGAGCGUUGUGUAAGCUGUUGAAGGUGUGCUGAGAGGCAUGCUGGAGGUAUCACAAGUGCGAAUGCUGACAUGAGUAACGAUAAAGGGGGUGAAAAACCUCCUCGCCGGAAGACCAAGGGUUCCUGUCCAACGUUAAUCGGGGCAGGGUAAGUCGGCCCCUAAGGCGAGGCCGAAAGGCGUAGUCGAUGGGAAACGGGUUAAUAUUCCCGUACUGCUGCUUACUGCGAUGGGGGGACGGAGAAGGCUAGGUGGGCCUGGCGAUGGUUGUCCAGGUUCAAGUGCGUAGGCUGAUUUCUUAGGCAAAUCCGGGAAAUCAAGGCCGAGACACGAUGUCGAGCCACCAAGGUGGUGAAGUCAUUGAUGCCAUGCUUCCGGGAAAAGCCUCUAAGCUUCAGGUAAGUAGGAACCGUACUCCAAACCGACACAGGUGGUCGGGUAGAGAAUACCAAGGCGCUUGAGAGAACUCGGGUGAAGGAACUAGGCAAAAUGGUACCGUAACUUCGGGAGAAGGUACGCUGCCCGCGGUGAAGUCCCUWGCGGAUGGAGCUAUGGGCAGUCGCAGAUACCAGGUGGCUGCAACUGUUUAUUAAAAACACAGCACUGUGCAAAAUCGAAAGAUGACGUAUACGGUGUGACGCCUGCCCGGUGCCGGAAGGUUAAUUGAUGUGGUUAUCGCAAGAGAAGCCAUUGAUUGAAGCCCCGGUAAACGGCGGCCGUAACUAUAACGGUCCUAAGGUAGCGAAAUUCCUUGUCGGGUAAGUUCCGACCUGCACGAAUGGCGUAAUGAUGGCCACGCUGUCUCCACCCGAGACUCAGUGAAAUUGAAAUCGCAGUGAAGAUGCUGUGUACCCGCGGCUAGACGGAAAGACCCCGUGAACCUUUACUACAGCUUGGCACUGAACAUUGAGCCUACAUGUGUAGGAUAGGUGGGAGGCUUUGAARCGGCGACGCCAGUUGCUGUGGAGCCAUCCUUGAAAUACCACCCUUGUAUGUUUGAUGUUCUAACUUAGCCCCRUUAUCYGGGGUGAGGACAGUGCCUGGUGGGUAGUUUGACUGGGGCGGUCUCCUCCCAAAGUGUAACGGAGGAGCACGAAGGUGGGCUAAUCACGGUCGGACAUCGUGAGGUUAGUGCAAUGGCAUAAGCCCGCUUAACUGCGAGAGUGACGGCUCGAGCAGGUACGAAAGUAGGUCAUAGUGAUCCGGUGGUUCUGAAUGGAAGGGCCAUCGCUCAACGGAUAAAAGGUACUCCGGGGAUAACAGGCUGAUACCGCCCAAGAGUUCAUAUCGACGGCGGUGUUUGGCACCUCGAUGUCGGCUCAUCACAUCCUGGGGCUGAAGUCGGUCCCAAGGGUAUGGCUCAUCCCUAGAGCCUCGAGCUCUCUAAAGGGUUGUUCUAGACUAGAACGUUGAUAGGCAGGGUGUGUAAGCGCUGUGAGGCGUUGAGCUAACCUGUACUAAUGGCCCGUGAGGCUUAACCAUACAACACCCAAGGGGUUU